rnacentral:rRNA from 1 species
UGAACGCUGGCGGUAUGCCUAACACAUGCAAGUCGUACGAGAGUUUUUAACUCUAGUGGCGGACGGGUGAGUAACACGUGAGAAUUUGCCUUUAGGAGGGGGAUAACAAUUGGAAACGAAUGCUAAUACCCCAUAUGCUUUCGAGUGAAAUGAAUUUUUUAUUUGCCUAAAGAGAAGCUCGCGGCUGAUUAGCUUGUUGGUAAGGUAAGAGCUUACCAAGGCGACGAUCAGUAUCUGGUUUGAGAGGACGAUCAGACACACUGGAACUGAGACACGGUCCAGACUCCUACGGGAGGCAGCAGUGGGGAAUUUUCCGCAAUGGACGAAAGCCUGACGGAGCAAUACCGCGUGAGGGAAGAAUGCCUAUGGGUUGUAAACCUCUUUUUUCAGGGAGGAAUAAAUGACGUGUACCUGAAGAAUAAGCAUCGGCUAACUCCGUGCCAGCAG